UACGUAGGGGGCUAGCGUUGUCCGGAAUCAUUGGGCGUAAAGCGCGCGUAGGCGGCCCGGUAAGUCCGCUGUGAAAGUCAAAGGCUCAACCUUUGAAUGUCAGCGGAUACUGCCGGGCUAGAGUCCGGAAGAGGCGAGUGGAAUUCCCGGUGUAGCGGUGAAAUGCGCAGAUAUCGGGAGGAACACCAAUGGCGAAGGCAGCUUGCUGGGACGGUACUGACGCUGAGACGCGAAAGCGUGGGGAGCAAACAGG
rnacentral:rRNA from 1 species